rfam:Nicotiana sylvestris Nsyl_contig278122, whole genome shotgun sequence.
UGGACAGAUUAUUGUAUUCGACUGUAUUCACGGCGUGAAAUAGGGGAUUACACUGUUUUUAAAACGGAAAGUGAAUCAAUUAACAUAAUAGACUCAU